UACGUAGGGUGCAAGCGUUGCCCGGAUUUAUUGGGCGUAAAGGGCGCGUAGGCGGCUCGGCACGUCCGUUGUGAAAUCGCCCGGCUCAACUGGGCGGGGUCAGCGGAUACGGUCGAGCUUGAGCAAGCUAGGGGGCAAUGGAAUUCCCGGUGUAGUGGUGGAAUGCGUAGAUAUCGGGAGGAACACCAGUGGCGAAGGCGGUUGCCUGGAGCUUUGCUGACGCUGAGGCGCGAAAGCUAGGGGAGCGAACAGG
rnacentral:rRNA from 1 species